rnacentral:rRNA from 1 species
UACGUAGGGGGCUAGCGUUGUCCGGAUUUACUGGGCGUAAAGAGCGCGCAGGCGGUCGAUCAAGUCGAGUGUGAAAGCCCCCGGCUCAACUGGGGAGGGUCAUUCGAUACUGAUCGACUCGAAGGCAGGAGAGGGUAGUGGAAUUCCCGGUGUAGUGGUGAAAUGCGUAGAUAUCGGGAGGAACACCAGUGGCGAAGGCGACUACCUGGCCUGUUCUUGACGCUGAGGCGCGAAAGCUAGGGGAGCAAACGGG